rfam:Schistosoma curassoni strain Dakar, Senegal genome assembly, scaffold: SCTD_scaffold0001534
AUCCAGCUGACGAGUCACACAUAGAACGAAACACACGUCCUGGAU